UUUUUUUUUUUUUUCCUUCAUCUACUUGAUGAAGAAAUAUGCUUGCCUCUGUCUUUUAAUCAACUGUCUGGUCAUAUUUUGGAUUUUAAUUUUAUAUUUAUUUUAAUGUGUUGCAUUAUUUCCUUGAAACCAUAGAGGAAAUACAUCAAUUGGGAAUGUGAUUGACAGGAAGCAGUACGUUACCGCUCCCCAACACUAGGCCCACUGUGUUUCCUUUCUCUUCUAGCUUUUAGUGGUUCUGCCCAUCACUUUUAAUCAUCUGAAGUAAAAGCAGAACACAGAAUGUUACUUGAAGCAGUGGUGACAGGAAGUUCAGCUGUGCACCUGUGAGAAUUAAUGACCUAUGCAAUGUUCCUUUUGGUCACUCAGCGGGGGAAGCAUUUCAAUAGGCUUUCUUCCCUACUCUUAUGUGCUCAGGGUCUCCAGUAGUGUGCACUUAAUCUACUGUCCACACAGCUAGCUUGUUAUGUCAAAAGAGGCUUAUACACAUUUAUAACACUUUUGAGAUUGUUUGAUUAGAUAAUUAUUUGGAACAUGGCACACACGAAAUUAGUUGCAUUGAAAUGUUUUCCAAGCAAUUACAUUUUCUUCUCAAAAGUCUUUGCCCUUCACUUAAAGUUGAACAGACUUCUAAGGCAGUCCUUAUUUUCCAGAUUUACAAUGUUUAGAGAGUCUUAAUUAAGACUGUGUGUCUGACACAUGUAGCAAAGAGCUAAUAAAUGUUUAUUGGUUGGAUGCAUGAAAACCAAGGAUAAGCAGAAUGUUGAUCAUAUACACAUUUUAAGUUUAACAGUAGAAUAAAGUCAUAAAUUUUAUAUUUCCUUUAGUAAUUAAAAUAUAAUUAUUUUAGUUGUCAUCUCUUUGAAUGGGAAGUGACCAUCUCAGACUUAUGUGUUUGAACACUUGGUCUUCAGCUGGCAGUGCUGGUCAGCAAGAGUAAAUAAAGUACCAGGCAGUAGGCAUUGUUAAUGUAUGGGAAGGAGGGGAAGGAAGCCUUUAAGUGUGAUAGCCCUCCUUGUUUUUGGCCAAACUUUCUUUGCCCUUUUCACUUACAUGUGAGGUCCAGCUACCAAACACUCCAAGUACCUUUCUUGAUGGACUUCAAUCUGAAACUCAAACAGUUUACAUUUCUCCCUUAAUUUGUGUUUGUUCAGUGUUUGGAUAUAGCUGUUGGAAAAUAACAGUGGAGUGUUGUGCUCUCCCUGAGGUGAAAUGCUGAUCUUGACCUGUGAAUUGCAGAUGAGAGAGCCAUUACACAAGCUGGUAGAAGAGCUAAGCCCAGUUGUCUAGUUGUCAAAUUCGCUUCAAACUUUGGUGAAGAUUUCAAAAGCAACCACUUACAUUAACCAUUUUCUUCUCUCUAAAUAAUCAGGAUGGGCACACACCGCCAAGCAGCCUUGGACUUAGAACGUGAAUAGAAAAGAGAUUUAAUUAAUGCUUAUUUUGAUGCUAUGGUUAGUUUGUCAGAUACUUCCACUACCUGAUUUAAGUUCUUCAACUCUGGAUAGUUUAGGAUAAUUUAAGGUAAAGAUCUAUGCGAAAUUCUCAUUGUUUUGAUGCAGGAGGAAAUCUAUGCUGACAUAUCUUGAAACGUAUGUAGUGAGAUAUUCAUGAUUUCCCAUGUGGUAUGUAUAGUGGCCCAAACAGCAUUUCCUUUCAAAUUCUCAGUGUCCAUUUUUUUUUACAAUAUGAAACAAUUUCUAACUACCAAGAGAACAUUUUUAAAACUUUAAAAAUUAUUAAAUAUUUUUUUUCAAAAUUAGAAACUCCCGUGUUCUGGAUGAAUUGACUUAAAGCAGAUAUUUUAGGGUUACUUGGUUUUGGCCAGGCUAAUUUUGUAUAUGUGUUUUCAUGCACAGUGCAGGUAUUAUUUUCAGGAGUAAGUGAAAACUAUUGAUGUGAUGAGAGUGAAUAUUUGAAACUAGAGAUAUUUGUAUAAUGUUAAGAACGUGAACUUAAAUAUAAGACCAGUUUCUUAGUUAGGAUUUUACUGUUUUGAACAGACACCAUGACCAAGGCAACUCUUAUAAAGGCAACAUUUAAUAUUGGCUGGCUUACAGGUUCACAUGUUCAGUCUAGUAUCAUCAAGGCAAGAAGCAUGGCAGCAUCCAGGAAGCAUGGAACUGGAGGAGCUCAGAGUUCUAUGUCUUUAUCUGAAUUCUACUAGGAGAAGACUGACCUCCAUGCAGCUAUGAUGAAGUUAUUAAAGCCCAUGUCUACAGUGACACACCUACUUCAACAAGGCCACACUUAAUCUAACAAGGCCACACCCCCUCAUAGUGACAUUACCUUGGCAAGCAUAUUCAAGCCAUCACAACUAGAGGCAUGGCUGGUUUGGUAGAGGUGCUUGUUGUGAAAGAUUGCCAGUCUAAAUUCUAUUCUAGGAAUCCAUUGUGUAAGAAGUUAGUUCUCUGACAUCAUUAAGUAAACUACAAUGUACAAGUGUUUCUUUUUUUUCUUUUUUUCUUUUUUUUUCCGUUUUUCGAGGCAGGGUUUCUCUGUGUAGCCCUGGCUGACCUGGAACUCAUGUUGUAGACCAGGCUGGCCUCGAACUCAGGAAUCUGCCUGCCUCUGCCUCCCGAGUGCUGGGAUUAAAGGCGUGUGCCACCACGCCCGGGUGUACAAGUGUUUCUUGAAUACAUACACACACACACACACACAUACACACAGACACACAAAAUUGAAAUGCAUGAAUGAGUAAAUAACAGCUUAACAAAGUGUAUAACCUAGGAACAAAAAUGUAAAAUCAGAAAAGUUUAUGGCUUUAAAUUUUGUAUACAGUGCUUUAUAACAUGAAGUAAUGUUUAGCUUCAAAGAUUUCAACAGUUAGUAUGACAAGAAUAAGGAAGUGUUAAAGCAAAUGUCACAUAGUAUCAUGAUGCCACAUAUAUCUGUAGAUAAGUUGAUAGAGUGCUUGUCUAGAAUCCUGAAAUCUCUGAAUUCUGUUCCCAACACUGUAUAAACCAUAUGAUAGGGCUCAUGCCUGUCAUCCUUGCAAUUAGAAGAUGGAGGCAGGAAGAUAAACACUUGAAGGUCAGCAGCAACAGCAAUAGAGACCUCAACAUCAGCAAAGUGAUAGAGGACUGUUGAGUUGAGUAUAUAAAUAUAAUGAAAUUAUAGGCUAAUGUCAAACUCAAAUGUGGGCAAUUUAAAUGAAAAAGGAACAUAGUUACUAACAGCUUCACUGUAUCUUAAAAAAUUAUAGAUUUAAAAGAUCAUUUUCAAGUAUCAAAUUCAUAAAUGUAGUCAUAAAUAAUGAUUACUGUUUGAGAUUUUUGUCAAAUAAUGUAUUCUCAUGCUGUGUAAAGGAAUUCAGAUUACUUUCCCAGAGACUUCGACGUGAAAAUAUAAAUUCCACUUUGAUAUAUUUUAAGGAGAAAUACAGAGAAAGCAACAUAAUCCCUAUUUGAAAGAUAUUUGACAGUUCAUGGAAUUGAAAGUGUAACUGAGACAGGGAACAGGUAAGAUCUAAACAUUGUCUCAGGAAUUUAAAGCCUAGAGAUAAAUCUUUUCCUGUUACUACGACGACGACGGUGACGACGACAAUGAUGACGACUACUACUACAUUAUUUUGCCUAGAAUAACAUGAAAUAAAUACUAGUAAAGAAGGUGACCACUUUAGCUAUUUAAAGUAUAUUUUGCUUCUUGAAUAGAAUAAAGUAAGAUAUAAGAUACAUACAAUAUUUACCUUUGUGCUUCUGGAUUAUCUCACUUAGGAUGAUUUUUUUCCAGAUACAUCCAUUUUUCUUCAAAUUUCACAAUGUCAUAUUUUAAGAGCCUAUUAAAACUUCAUUGUUCACCUCCUUUUCAUUAUCCAUUCUUCUGUCAAAGAACAUUGAUGCUGUUUCCAGUUCUGCUAUGAGAUGUGGGUAGUAAUUAUGAGAAGAGCAACAAUGAACAUGGUUGAGCAGGUGUCCCUGCGGUAGAAUGAAGCAUCCUUGGGUGUAUUCCCAAUAUUGGUAACACUGUGUUUGAGGUAGAUCAAUUCCCAUUUUUCUGAGCAAUUGCCAUACUGAUUUCCAUAAGAGAUGUAUAUUUUUACCUUCAACCAGC
rnacentral:lncRNA from 1 species